rnacentral:sRNA from 1 species
CGCUCGACCUGGUGGACGAACAGACCCGCGAGCGGGC